rnacentral:misc_RNA from 1 species
UCUGGCUUAUAGCCGAGCGGUCCCUCUAGAGUCCCCAACUCAAUGCUGGUAACUAGAGGCACGGGUUGCGCUCGUUGCGGGACUUAACCCAACAUCUCACAACACGAGCUGACGACAGCCAUGCAGCACCUGUCACCGCGUCCCCGAAGGGAACGCCUGCUUUCACAGGUUAGCGCGGGAUGUCAAGCCCAGGUAAGGUUCUUCGCGUAGCAUCGAAUUGAACCACAUGCUCCACCGCUUGUGCGGGCCCCCGUCAAUUCCUUUGAGUUUUAAUCUUGCGACCGUACUCCCCAGGCGGAUUACUUAAUGCGUUAGCUUCGACACCGAAACUAUUAGGUAUUCCGACGUCUAGUAAUCAUCGUUUAGGGCGUGGACUAC